rnacentral:ribozyme from 1 species
GCUGCUCGUAAUAAUAUCACACACCUCUCCGUGGUGAGCAGUAGGCAACGAUCUUAUGGUCGGCGAAGAUGUGAGA